rnacentral:rRNA from 1 species
UACGGGGGGAGCAAGCGUUGUUCGGAUUUACUGGGCGUAAAGGGCGCGUAGGCGGUCAGCACAAGUCAGUUGUGAAAUCUCCGGGCUUAACUCGGAAAGGUCAACUGAUACUGUGCGACUAGAGUGCAGAAGGGGCAACUGGAAUUCUCGGUGUAGCGGUGAAAUGCGUAGAUAUCGAGAGGAACACCAGUGGCGAAGGCGAGUCCCUGGAAAACACCUGACACUGAGGCACGAAAGCUAGGGGAGCAAACAGG